rnacentral:tRNA from 1 species
AAAAAGUUAGUUAAAUUAUAACAUUAAUAUGUCAUGUUAAAAUUAUUAGAAUAACCUAGUACUUUUUG